GAGCGAACAGACGAGGAGCUUGCUCCUCUGACGUUAGCGGCGGACGGGUGAGUAACACGUGGAUAACCUACCUAUAAGACUGGGAUAACUUCGGGAAACCGGAGCUAAUACCGGAUAAUAUAUUGAACCGCAUGGUUCAAUAGUGAAAGACGGUUUUGCUGUCACUUAUAGAUGGAUCCGCGCCGCAUUAGCUAGUUGGUAAGGUAACGGCUUACCAAGGCAACGAUGCGUAGCCGACCUGAGAGGGUGAUCGGCCACACUGGAACUGAGACACGGUCCAGACUCCUACGGGAGGCAGCAGUAGGGAAUCUUCCGCAAUGGGCGAAAGCCUGACGGAGCAACGCCGCGUGAGUGAUGAAGGCCUUCGGAUCGUAAAACUCUGUUAUUAGGGAAGAACAAAUGUGUAAGUAACUAUGCACGUCUUGACGGUACCUAAUCAGAAAGCCACGGCUAACUACGUGCCAGCAGCCGCGGUAAUACGUAGGUGGCAAGCGUUAUCCGGAAUUAUUGGGCGUAAAGCGCGCGUAGGCGGUUUUUUAAGUCUGAUGUGAAAGCCCACGGCUCAACCGUGGAGGGUCAUUGGAAACUGGAAAACUUGAGUGCAGAAGAGGAAAGUGGAAUUCCAUGUGUAGCGGUGAAAUGCGCAGAGAUAUGGAGGAACACCAGUGGCGAAGGCGACUUUCUGGUCUGUAACUGACGCUGAUGUGCGAAAGCGUGGGGAUCAAACAGGAUUAGAUACCCUGGUAGUCCACGCCGUAAACGAUGAGUGCUAAGUGUUAGGGGGUUUCCGCCCCUUAGUGCUGCAGCUAACGCAUUAAGCACUCCGC
rnacentral:rRNA from 1 species